GGUCAAAGGUGAGUGAGUCCCCGACUCUGGCUGGCAGAAGGAGUAGACAUUUUGAAAAGAAAUUUCAAGUGUGGAAGAAGCUAACUGCUGAAUUUAAGAGGAUUACAACCAUCAGUUUGCUGUCAAAGUUCUUCUCCCAGCUGGAUGCUCAUUCUUCAAACUUGAUGAGGGUGUUUGGCAAGAAAGGCGGCGUUCAAGGAAGAAAGAUAAGGAGCAUCAUGAUACCCAUCACCAAGACUGACGCCAUUGAUGUCAAAAGAGAGUGAAUCAUCAAAGCCCUGUGUGUGUACCUGAAUGAAGAGCCCGAGAACCUUGUGAAAGAAUACAUGAACACAGAUUGUGGGAGCAGUGAAGCUGCAGUGAUGGAGACGACAUUUGGAAUAUUUGUCAUUCGCAAGGAAGGUGCAGAGCCAGGUGAUGGACCGGAAGAUGUAGGUAUAGUUCUGGAUGGGCUCGGAAACGUGCCACUUGCUGUGGUCAUGUUGUUUGCGCUUGUAUAUGCGCUUAACCUCAGCUACCCGCCAGAGCUCAGAUACACCUUUGAAGCUUUGCAGAAGAUCAUCGUGGAGCUUGAUGGAAACAUACUCUCAAAAAAAACUCAAACACUGAAAACUCUACUUGCGUGUUAGUCACCCUCAAUAGAGUAAACUACAGGUUUGGAGUUACUCUAAUGGGAAGGCAUUUGAAGCCAUUUGAGUAGUUACUGAACUGAAAGCU